ensembl:lncRNA
CGAGGUGGUUGAUGUUUGUUGGGUCGAGGUGGUUGAUGUUCGUUGGCUCGAGGUGGUUGAAGGUCGGUGGGUUGAGGUGGUUGAAGGUCGUUGAAUCGAGGUGGUUGAAGGUCGGUGAGUCGAGGUGGUUGAUGUUCGUUGGGUCGAGGUGGUUGAUGUUCGUUGGGUCGAAGUGGUUGAUGUUCGUUCAGUCGAGGUGGUUGAUGUUUGUUGGGUCGUGGUGGUUGAUGUUCGUUGAGUCGAGGUGGUUGAAGGUUGGUGAGUCGAGGUGGUUGAUGUUUGUUGGGUCGAGGUGGUUGAUGUUCGUUGAGUCGAGGUGGUUGAUGUUUGUUGGGUCG